GACGAACGCUGGCGGCGUGCUUAACACAUGCAAGUCGAACGGAAAGGCCUGCUUUCCCUUGUGGAUUGCGGGUACUCGAGUGGCGAACGGGUGAGUAACACGUGAGUGAUCUGCCCCCAACUUGGGUAUAAGCCUGGGAAACUGGGUCUAAUUCCCGAUAGGACUGCAGGGUGGUGCCUGUGGUGGAAAACGAUUUUCUAGUGGUUGGGGAUGAGCUCGCGGCCUAUCAGCUUGUUGGUGGGGUAAUGGCCUACCAAGGCGGCGACGGGUAGCCGGCCUGGGGGGGUGGACGGGCACAUUGGGACUGAGAUACGGCCCAGACUCCUACGGGAGGCAGCAGUGGGGAAUAUUGGACAAUGGGCGGAAGCCUGAUGCAGCGACGCCGCGUGGGGGAUGACGGCCUUCGGGUUGUAAACUCCUUUCGACCGCGAGGAAGCCACCUGGUUGGAAGGGUGGUGACGGUAGUGGUAGAAGAAGCACCGGCUAACUACGUG
rnacentral:rRNA from 1 species